rnacentral:snoRNA from 1 species
UUACAUGAUGAUUUACUUUAUUUUUAUCACGACGGUCAACAUAAGGAAUUUUUCAAUUGAUGACCACCGCCUGUGACAGGGCUUUGAAUCUGAUC